rnacentral:lncRNA from 1 species
UUGUCACAAUUUAACAUGUGGCCUUGGAGAAAUUCUCUCCUUAUGCCUAAAUUUCCUAUUUUGUAAAAUGGAAGAAAGCAUCCUACCAUUUUCACAGAGAUUCAGUAUCACAAAGAAACUGAAAGAGCUUUUUUAUUGUAUUGUAAACUAUUACUAUAAACCCGCGACAACAAAUAAGGCCACCCAUUCUUUACAGCUUUGUAGCAAUGAUUCUGUUAAAGAUAUUUUGGCCCUUCACAUUUACACAACUCACUCUAACCAAAGGCACAAACUAUUCUUAAGACCACAACUGGCUACGCUAAGUUUCUCCCCUCCCUGACCUCACAGACACAUGCUGUACAGAACACUACCAUUGCCGCUCUUUCCCAACAAGUAACUAGGGGCUCCCAAUCCCUAAAAUAUACACACAUAUCAACCUGCAAGGAACCUCCCAACAUUUAUUCAAGAAAUAAGCUAACUUAUAAGGGGAACUCCAUUACACUUACACAAAUAAAGGCAAACUCUUCCGGAAACACUUGCCAUCCUCGCAUACACACAUCAACACAUCGCUCCCACAUACCGUUCAACGCGGCAGGGACACCACAGACCUUGUCACACAGGUAAAAUCCCCUCUCAAGAUCGUGUCCUCGACCACUCUUAUCCCUUAAUUAAACACACACAAACUGGACUAUGGGGGAGACUCCGAUCAUGCCUACAAACACAAACUAACCUGUCAGGGGCACAGCCGACUCCGCCUCCACUCGCUUACUUUCCAGCCCCCUCCGGGAGUCUGCCUGUCAGGGACACCCCUUCACCCCGCCUGGAGGGACUUCCCGGUAGGCUCAGGAUCCCCUCCCUGCUCUCCCCUCCCCCAUCUUCACCACUGCUCUCCCAGAGGUCCAGGUCCGGGAGAUGACAGUGGCUCCCAGAAAGCCCAGGAUUCAAUCGCUGAGAGAGUGCUUAGGCCCGAAUGCCGGCCCAAAUCGUUCUACUCACCGUGUCGGAGGCCUAGGCCGAGGCCGAGAGCGAUGAGAGUACAGGGAAGUGGGGAAGAGGGGGUGGCCGCCAGGCUCCUCCGCUUCCCUGGGUCCACCGCGGAUCCCUCCCGCUUGUCAGGAGGCGGCCAGCGGGUAAGCUGACUGGCGGAAAUGCGAGAG